GGGGGAAUAUUGCACAAUGGGCGCANGCCUGAUGCAGCGACGCCGCGUGAGGGAUGGAGGCCUUCGGGUUGUAAACCUCUUUUAUCGGGGAGCAAGCGAGAGUGAGUUUACCCGUUGAAUAAGCACCGGCUAACUACGGGCCAGCAGCCGCGGUAAUACAAAA
rnacentral:rRNA from 1 species